CCUACGGGUGGCAGCAGUGGGGAAUAUUGGACAAUGGGCGAAAGCCUGAUCCAGCCAUGCCGCGUGUGUGAAGAAGGCCUUCGGGUUGUAAAGCACUUUCAGUGGGGAAGAAAGCCUUGGGGCUAAUACCCUCGAGGAAGGACAUCACCCACAGAAGAAGCACCGGCUAACUCCGUGCCAGCAGCCGCGGUAAUACGGAGGGGGCGAGCGUUAAUCGGAAUUACUGGGCGUAAAGCGCGCGUAGGCGGUCUGAUAAGCCGGUUGUGAAAGCCCCGGGCUCAACCUGGGAACGGCAUCCGGAACUGUCAGGCUAGAGUGCAGGAGAGGAAGGUAGAAUUCCCGGUGUAGCGGUGAAAUGCGUAGAGAUCGGGAGGAAUACCAGUGGCGAAGGCGGCCUUCUGGACUGACACUGACGCUGAGGUGCGAAAGCGUGGGUAGCAAACAGGAUUAGAUACCCUAGUAGUC
rnacentral:rRNA from 1 species